AGCAGCCGCGGUAAUUCCAGCUCCAAUAGCGUAUAUUAAAGUUGUUGCAGUUAAAAAGCUCGUAGUUGAAUUUCGGGGUCAGUAGGCUGGUCGUGCCACGGGUAUGUACUGGUCUUACUGAUUCCUCCUUCCUGAUGAACCGUAAUGCCAUUAAUUUGGUGUUGCGGGGAAUCUGGACUGUUACUUUGAAAAAAUUGAGUGUUUAAAGCAGGCUAACGCUUGAAUACAUUAGCAUGGAAUAAUGAAAUAGGACGAUCGAUCCUAUUUUGUUGGUUUCUAGGAUUGACGUAAUGAUUAAUAGGGAUAGUUGGGGGCAUUAGUAUUCAAUUGUCAGAGGUGAAAUUCUUGGAUUUAUUGAAGACUAACUACUGCGAAAGCAUUUGCCAAGGAUGUUUUCAUUAAUCAAGAACGAAAGUUAGGGAUCGAAGACGAUCAGAUACCGUCGUAGUCUUAACCAUAAACUAUGCCGACUAGGGAUCGGAUGAUGUUAAUUUUUUAANGUACUCAUUCGGCGUACCCG
rnacentral:rRNA from 1 species